rnacentral:rRNA from 1 species
GGGCCUCUCGCGUCAGGAUAUGCCUAGGUGGGAUUAGCUAGUUGGUGAGGUAAGGGCUCACCAAGGCGACGAUCCCUAGCUGGUCUGAGAGGAUGAUCAGCCACACUGGAACUGAGACACGGUCCAGACUCCUACGGGAGGCAGCAGUGGGGAAUAUUGCACAAUGGGCGCAAGCCUGAUGCAGCCAUGCCGCGUGUGUGAAGAAGGCCUUCGGGUUGUAAAGCACUUUCAGUCGUGAGGAAGGUAGUGUAGUUAAUAGCUGCAUUAUUUGACGUUAGCGACAGAAGAAGCACCGGCUAACUCCGUGCCAGCAGCCGCGGUAAUACGGAGGGUGCGAGCGUUAAUCGGAAUUACUGGGCGUAAAGCGCAUGCAGGUGGUUUGUUAAGUCAGAUGUGAAAGCCCGGGGCUCAACCUCGGAAUUGCAUUUGAAACUGGCAGACUAGAGUACUGUAGAGGGGGGUAGAAUUUCAGGUGUAGCGGUGAAAUGCGUAGAGAUCUGAAGGAAUACCGGUGGCGAAGGCGGCCCCCUGGACAGAUACUGACACUCAGAUGCGAAAGCGUGGGGAGCAAACAGGAUUAGAUACCCUGGUAGUCCACGCCGUAAACGAUGUCUACUUGGAGGUUGUGGCCUUGAGCCGUGGCUUUCGGAGCUAACGCGUUAAGUAGACCGCCUGGGGAGUACGGUCGCAAGAUUAAAACUCAAAUGAAUUGACGGGGGCCCGCACAAGCGGUGGAGCAUGUGGUUUAAUUCGAUGCAACGCGAAGAACCUUACCUACUCUUGACAUCCAGAGAACUUUCCAGAGAUGGAUUGGUGCCUUCGGGAACUCUGAGACAGGUGCUGCAUGGCUGUCGUCAGCUCGUGUUGUGAAAUGUUGGGUUAAGUCCCGCAACGAGCGCAACCCUUAUCCUUGUUUGCCAGCGAGUAAUGUCGGGAACUCCAGGGAGACUGCCGGUGAUAAACCGGAGGAAGGUGGGGACGACGUCAAGUCAUCAUGGCCCUUACGAGUAGGGCUACACACGUGCUACAAUGGCGCAUACAGAGGGCAGCCAACUUGCGAAAGUGAGCGAAUCCCAAAAAGUGCGUCGUAGUCCGGAUUGGAGUCUGCAACUCGACUCCAUGAAGUCGGAAUCGCUAGUAAUCGUGGAUCAGAAUGCCACGGUGAAUACGUUCCCGGGCCUUGUACACACCGCCCGUCACACCAUGGGAGUGGGCUGCAAAAGAAGUAGGUAGUUUAACCUUCGGGGGGACGCUUACCACUUUGUGGUUCAUGACUGGGGUGAAGUCGUAACAAGGUAGCGCUAGGGGAACC